rnacentral:rRNA from 1 species
GUGGGGAAUCUUCCGCAAUGGACGAAAGUCUGACGGAGCGACGCCGCGUGAGUGAAGAAGGCCUUCGGGUCGUAAAGCUCUGUCAUCAGGGACGAACGGCCGGUGGAGUGGAAAGCCACCGGAUUGACGGUACCUGAGAAGGAAGCCACGGCUAACUACGUGCCAGCAGCCGCGGUAAUACGUAGGUGGCAAGCGUUGUCCGGAAGUAUUGGGCGUAAAGCGCGCGCAGGUGGGAUCUUAAGUCCAUUGUGAAAGUUCGGAGCUCAACUCCGUGAUGGGAUGGAAACUGGGAUUCUUGAGUACCGGAGAGGAAAGCGGAAUUCCCCGUGUAGCGGUGAAAUGCGUAGAUAUGGGGAGGAACACCAGUGGCGAAGGCGGCUUUCUGGACGGUGUCUGACACUGAGGCGCGAAAGCUAGGGGAGCGAACGGGAUUAGAAACCCUUGUAGUCC